rnacentral:lncRNA from 1 species
AACCACACUUACAUUUUAGGUUUUUGCUAACACCCCACUUCUGAGUACCAAAAUGUAUACUGAUUUUCUAUUGCUGCAUAAUAAACUGCCCCAAAAUACAACAUGCAAAGCAAUAAAUAUUCAUUAUCUCAUGUAGUGUCUGAAGGUCAAAAAUCCGGAAGCAGCAUAGCUGAGUGGUUCUGAUUCAUUGUCUCUUGUGAAGUUAUCAGUCAAACCAUCAGCUGAGACUGUAAUCAUCUGAUGUUUUAACUAGUACCAGAGGAUACACUUUCACAUGCUAUUGGCAGGACACUUUAGUUCUUCACUAGCUGUUUAGCAGAAUACCGCACUUCCUCACCACAUGUACCUCUUCAUAGAGCUUCCUGGCUUCCUCUAAAACAAGUAAUCCAAGAGAGAAGCAGAAGCCACCAUGGUUUUUUAUGCCGUUGUUGACCUAGCCCCCAAAGUGACAUAUUAUUACACAGAUAUGUAGCCAACCUGUGGGUCACUGAUACGGUUUGGAUGUGUGUCCCCUCCAAAUCUCAUGUUGAAAUGUGAUUCUCAGUGUUGGAAGUGGGGCUGGUGAUAGGUGUUUGGUUCAUGAGGGUAGAUCCCUUAUGAAUGGCUUGGUGCUGUCUUUGUGGCAAUAAGUGAGUUCUCACUAUCUGAGUUCACACAAGAGCUGGUUGUUUAAAAGAGCCUGUCAUCUCUUUUGCUCCCUUUCUCACCAUGUGAUAUGCUGCUCCCCUUCUCUUCUGCCAUGAAGAAAAGCUUCCUGAGGCCUUCACCAGAAGCAGAUGCUGGUGCCGUGCUUCUACAGCCUGCAGAACUGUGAGCCAAAUAAAGUUCUUUCCUUUAUAAAUUACCCAGCGUCAGGUAUUGUUUUAUAGCAAUGCAGAACAGACUAACACAGACACACACACCAACCAAGUACAGUAUGAGAAGGGAUUAUUGGGUGCCAUUUUGGAGGUUGUCUACCACAGGAUUUUAUCUGUAUCAUUAUUCAAAUUUCGUUUUUGAAAAAUUUUGUAAGGGCACAUUUAUAGAAAUAUGAAUGCUUAAUAUUUGAUGAUAUUAGGGAAUUAAACCAUUUUUGUGUGAUAGUAAUUUUUAAAGAUUCCUUAUCUUUUAGAAAUACAUAUUGAAAUAUUUAGAGAUGUAGUGAUAUAAUGUCUGGGGUAUGCUUCAAGAUAAGAGUUGCAGAAAGUGGGUGGUAGUAUAAAUCAAGAUUGGUUAUGAGUUGAGAAUUUUUGAGUAAUAGGUAUAUGGGGACUAAGUAUUCUAUUCUUCAUACUUUUACAUGCCGUAAAUCCCCACUUAUCUGCAGGGAAUGUGUUCCAAGACCCCCAGUGGAUGCCUGAAACUGAGAAUAGUACUGGACCCUGUAUAUACUGUGUUUUUUCUUUCCUUAUUGAGAACUUUUAUGUUUUCACUUAAAGGAAGGACUUUACAGCUUCUCUUUCGCAUAUCCAAAUUGCCAGCAUCACCGCUCUUGCACUCCAAGCCAUUAUUAAGUAAAGUAAAGAACACAAACACUGUGAUACUGCUACACUUGAUCUGAUAACCAAGAAGUCUACUAAGUGACUAACAGCAGAGCAACUGGGAACCUAAUUCUGACCAAAAAGGAGGAAUUGUUUGGCUAAUUGGAAGUGACAGAAACCUUGGGAGAAAGCAACCGCAUACCAAGGAUAAUUAUAAGAAG